AUGGUCUCAUCAAUGUGCAACAAUUGAACUGGAUUUCCAACUUCCUGAGAGAUUCAACCUCACGCUAGGAUUUUAUGGCUUUCUCCCCAUCAAGUUGUAGUAAUUCCUGUCAGUAGUAAAUAUGAUGAUUAUGCCGAACCGGUAAAUUUAAUUUGAUUCAAAAGAAGUUCCAUGCAGCUGGUUAUCGUGUUGAUACAGACUUGGAUCACGGAUCAACACUAAAUAAGAAAGUUCGCAAUGCACAACUUUCACAGUACAACUUCAUUCUUGUUGUUGGUGAAAAGAGACGGUCUCAGACACGGUCAACGUCAGAACACGUGACAACAAAGUACUCGGUGAAAAAUCGGUCAUGGCCGUGAUCGAACGCUUGCGAGAUUUAGUCAUCUCACGAAGUCUGACAAGCGAA